CUUUUCCUCCCCCUGUUGUCGCCCUCGGACCUCUAUCUUUCCAUAUCUUUUUUUUUUCAUGAAAGAGGCCGUCCAAUUUGGUCGCCGUCUCUGGUGUGGCGCCCUUUUCCUCCAGAGGAAAAAAGAGGACCACACGUCGUGGUUCGACAAAUGCCAGCAAAGACGCAAGAGAUAGAAAACCGCCCGAAAAAAAAAGAGAAAGCAACCCGGCGAGGGAAAACGCAUGGCGGCGGCCACGGAGCGCGCUUUAUGCCCGACUAGACGGAAAAGGCAGGGUGCAACGGCCCGCCGGGCGCCGAGAGAGCACCGGCGACAGCGAGGGCAAUCUCCCUGGGCGGACACGGUAGCCUAGUGUACUUGAGGGCGAGGCUCCGCUCCGCGUCGGUCCACCCGACGAGGCCCGACAGCACAUAGUACCAAAAGGCCGAGGCGUCUGGAUGCAAAGGCGCCGGCACGAGCACCCCCACGUGAAACAAGAUAUUGGGGUCGCAGAGCACCGUCCACGGCCCGGUAAACGUUCUGCCUGCAAAGCGCGCGUCGGGGCAGUGGGGCGAGCACACAAACUCGGCCCCCACAGCGUUUCUCAGGCCGAGCGCCACCUGAACGUCUCCGUUGGCAUAGCAGACCUGCACCGUGGCGGGGCGCGGCGGCUCCCAGAGAGCCGUGAUGGUGCGCCGACCCCGUUCUCGGUCGCUGGCCUGCACGCUGAGCGACCGCGCACCCUCGAGUCCGGGAAGGCUCGCUCCGCACUCGGCUCCAGACACAUGCCAGAGGGGCGCGCCGCGCACCACGCGCGUGUAGCAGAAAUCACCGACCUGGCACUUGAACGACUGGGCCGCGUGGCGCACGCUCCAUCCGGGCGCGUGUUCGGUCCAUUGCAUGACGCGCCACCUCUUUUUGCACAACUUGAUCGCCGCGCCAUACCCGUGGCUCGCAUGUACCGCGCCGAUCCACACGCAGCGGCCGCUCUUGUGUGCAAAUGCCAGUGCGCACGCACGGUAGACCCACGACCAGUCCUUGCCCACGGCAAAGGCCCUGGCAAGCGGCGGUGGCAGCCCGGCGCCGGCGGGGCUCGGCGGUGGCACCGACACACAGCGUUGGACGUGCCCGUACAGUGUACGCGCUUCGGGCGGCCAGUCGUCAUCGACCAGCGGCGCGUGGGGCGACCACAGGAGAGGCGCGCGAAACAAGACGGCAAAGUCGCGCGCAAAGAGGAGGCGCCACACGUGCGGAUCUCGCGCAAUGCGGUCGAACCGCACGCAUGUCGCCUGGAGGGCGCACAGGCUGCGCGCGUCCAAACACGCGGCAACGGCCAAGAGAAUCUCAUCGGCAAAACACUCGAUCAUGGCAAAGAAGAAAAACACAAGAAAAACUGUUGUGGUGGUCCUCUCCUUUGGCAGGGAAGAAAAGUACACCGAGGAAGCACACAGCAAGCAGGCGGCCCGUUGUGAUGCGG
rnacentral:lncRNA from 1 species